CCCCCCUUCACCCCCAGCGCCCUCAGGGGCGGAGAGCCACCAGAACCCCCCGGCACCACGUCAGCUGUGUGAAGGUGAAGAAGACAGGUGUUGUUUGCUGUAUGCUAAGAAGGGGGCACCCUGCCCCGUUUGCAACAAUAGCAGCUCUGGAAGCUGUCCCACCUCUUGGCCUGGCCGGACUUCUCCUGAGUUUCAGGUGGGCUCCCACAAAAGACCCUCACCUGUUGUACAACUACCGUGACAGACAGACUGGGAUGUAAGAAGCCUCUCCAUCAAGGACUGAGAUAUGAAACUCCUAACAGGCCCCUCUGCUCCUUCCAAGGACUGGGACUGAAACCCCCAGCCCAGGGGAGGUGUGUGGGGAGGCAAGCUGACCAAAGAGAGAUGUUUGCCUGCAGGUUGUGACCACUGGACCAAGAAAACAAUGGCUCUCAUUUACUGCUGAGAACAUAGACUACAUGCUACAUCUAUUCCCUAUUGUAUCUGUUUCCCCACCCCUCACAAUUUUCAAUAAUAAAAACCUCU